rnacentral:rRNA from 1 species
AACGAACGCUGGCGGCAGGCCUAACACAUGCAAGUCGAACGAGCUGAGACCUUCGGGUCUCGAUGCUAGUGGCGCACGGGUGAGUAACGCGUGGGAACGUACCCUUUAGUACGGAAUAACAAAGGGAAACUUUGGCUAAUACCGUAUACGCCCUUCGGGGGAAAGAUUUAUCGCUAAAGGAUCGGCCCGCGUCUGAUUAGGUAGUUGGUGAGGUAACGGCUCACCACGCCGACGAUUAGUAGCUGGUCUGAGAGGAUGAUCAGCCACACUGGGACUGAGACACGGCCCAGACUCCUACGGGAGGCAGCAGUGGGGAAUAUUGGACAAUGGGCGAAAUCCUGAUCCAGCCAUGCCGCGUGAGUGAAGAAGGCCUUCGGGUUGUAAAGCUCUUUCGACGGGGACGAUGAUGACGGUACCCGUAUAAGAAGCCCCGGCAAACUUCGUGCCAGCCGCCGCAGUAA